rnacentral:rRNA from 1 species
UAAUGCUACGGGGGGGCAGCAGUGAGGAAUAUUGGUCAAUGGGCGAGAGCCUGAACCAGCCAAGUCGCGUGAGGGAAGACGGUCCUAUGGAUUGUAAACCUCUUUUGCCGGGGAGCAAAAAGCGGUACGUGUACCGCAUCGAGAGUACCCGGAGAAAAAGCAUCGGCUAACUCCGUGCCAGCAGCCGCGGUAAUACGGAGGAUGCGAGCGUUAUCCGGAUUUAUUGGGUUUAAAGGGUGCGUAGGCGGAAUGCCAAGUCAGCGGUAAAAUCGCGGGGCUCAACCUCGCUCCGCCGUUGAAACUGG